rnacentral:rRNA from 1 species
AACGCGAAGAACCUUACCAGGUCUUGACAUCCUCUGACAAGCCUAGAGAUAGGCCGUUCCCCUUCGGGGGACAGAGUGACAGGUGGUGCAUGGUUGUCGUCAGCUCGUGUCGUGAGAUGUUGGGUUAAGUCCCGCAACGAGCGCAACCCUUGAUCUUAGUUGCCAGCAUUCAGUUGGGCACUCUAAGGUGACUGCCGGUGACAAACCGGAGGAAGGUGGGGAUGACGUCAAAUCAUCAUGCCCCUUAUGAUCUGGGCUACACACGUGCUACAAUGGGCGGUACAAAGGGCAGCGAAACCGCGAGGUUAAGCCAAUCCCAUAAAGCCGCCCCCAGUUCGGAUUGCAGGCUGCAACCCGCCUGCAUGAAGCCGGAAUUGCUAGUAAUCGCGGAUCAGCAUGCCGCGGA